AGGAAAAAACUAGGUACAUUCCAAUUUCGCUCUGUAAAUUAGUUAUUUAAGAUAUCCUACAGUGGUAUAACGGUGUUUAAUAACCUAAAAAUCCAUUUUGGAGCAGCAAGAACAAGCUGCAAUCAGUCCACAACUUUCAGCACGCUAAAGAGGUUUCUGAGGCGCAAUUUUGACUAGUUUUGGCCAAUUUCGGGUAAGGUUCAAAGGACGACGAGGCGAACGGGAUAAAGAGUAACCCGUAAGAGGUAUGUAAGGCCUAGUCUUUCUCUUCUUUUGGCAUGUCUUAGAGGCAAGUAAAAGGUGAUAUGAUCUCUGAAAUAAUUUCAUUUCUAAGUGUCUCUUAUUCACUUCUGGAUGAUGAACUACUUUCCUAGAACUUUCUAUAUGUUAAGGAAGUAAUGAAUGUACAGACUCCUAGUCUUAAAGACUAUAGGAUGAUAAGUGCUUCCGAUUUAAUAAGUGGCUAGUAUUACUUUAGUACAUGCCUAGGAUCCCUGAGAUUCUAAUUGAUGCAGCCCCGAAUGGCAACUAGAAGACACGUGAGGUGAUCACAUUACUAUUAUGAUCCUCAGACGCUAGCUUAUUCUUCUUAUACGGUCGAGUCUCCAAUAAUGAUUUAAACUGCAUAUAGUUGCUCACUACUCUACUCAUGUAUACGGUAACACAUCUUUCUCCAAGUCCCAGGCCGGCUACAGAUUCGUGCUUAAUCUCACUGCAUUGUUCACCGAGUCCCUCACUAAAGGGUCGGGUACGUAUGUAUAUAUAUGAUGAUGUGAUGUAAUAAGAUGGUGAUGGCGCCGGACCUAUGAUGGUCCUACAGGUAUGCUUCACUGGUUCCCUGAAAGGGCCGGCUAUAUUGUAUAAUUUCAGCAUGCAUGUUUAUGAUUCCCAGGAUUCAGGUACAAGUUCCUUAUAUGACAUUUUAUUCCCUGCUUCUCUGUUUCAGAUAUGUUUCCAGCUAUGUUAUGCUAUAUUAUGUUUUACAUACUUAAUACAUAUAUCGUACUGUCCCCCUUUUUUCGGGGGGGGGGGGGGAGGCUGCAUUCAUGCCUGCAGGUACAUAUACACAGUUUGGGGAUCCGCCAGCAUAGGAGUCCCACUCAGCGGUCCGGAAGUGCUCCAUUGUGCUGGAGCCUGAUUUUGGGGUCAGUGAUGUUUCUUAGGUGAAGAUGAAGAUGAUUCUCCAACAGCUUCUACUCUUCCUUCUUUAUGGUGAGAGUUGUGUCAUUACUUUAUUUAUACUCUGUAUCUUUAGAAGCUCUUAUACCUGUUUAGACUUGUAUU